rnacentral:lncRNA from 1 species
AGGCACCGAUUUCUUUAUGAAGAAGGUCUUUCCUAUUCGCUUGAUUUAUUUCUUGAUUUUCUUGACCACCGACGGCUAUGGCCACUGUCAGGGUUGCUCUCAGUCAGUGACAUGUCGCCAUCGACCACUAGGCUGAGUUCCUUAGCCAUGGCUAGAUGAAAGGGAAAAAGAAAAAGGGUUCAGAUACCCUAUUUCCAUGGAGAAGAAAAAAGAAAAAAUAAGAGAAAGAGGAAGAAGAAAGG